CAAUAGCGUAUAUUAAAGUUGUUGCAGUUAAAAAGCUCGUAGUUGGAUUUCUGGUAGGAGCGACCGUGCCGAACUUGAUUGUUCGAGUAUUGUGUUGUCUUCAGCCAUCCUCGUGGAGAACUUUUCUAACAUUAACUUGUUGGGAUUGGGACCCGCGUCGUUUACUGUGAAAAAAUUAGAGUGUUUAAAGCAGGCAUUAGCUUGAAUACAUUAGCAUGGAAUAAUAAGAUAGGACUUUGGUACUAUUUUGUUGGUUUGCAUACCAAAUUAAUGAUCAACAGGAACAGUUUGAGGAUAUUCGUAUGAACAUGUCAGAGGUGAAAUUCUUGGAUUUUGAUCAGACGAACUACUGCGGAAGCAUUUAUCAAGGAUGUUUUCAUUAA
rnacentral:rRNA from 1 species